UACGUAGGGCGCAAGCGUUAUCCGGAAUUAUUGGGCGUAAAGAGCUCGUAGGCGGUUUGUCGCGUCUGCCGUGAAAGUCCGGGGCUCAACUCCGGAUCUGCAGUGGGUACGGGCAGACUAGAGUGAUGUAGGGGAGACUGGAAUUCCUGGUGUAGCGGUGAAAUGCGCAGAUAUCCGGAGGAACACCGAAGGCGAAGGCAGUGUCCUGGCGAGUGACUGACGCUGAGGUGCGAAAGCCAGGGGAGCGAACGGG
rnacentral:rRNA from 1 species